GGUGGAAUGUUUCUAUCUUGUCCCAUUGGUGUAUCACUGAGGUUUCUCACUGCUAAUGACUGCUGCCAAGAUAUAUAAAUGGAAUGGUUCAGCUAAGAGAAGAAUAUGAGGUUGCCAUUUUGGAGGCACUUUGGUAUGAAGGGAAAAACACCUAACUGAGAAUCAGACUACAUAAAUGCCAUUCCAUCUGCCACUAAUUAGGUACAUGGGCUUCAGCUUAUCACACACUCAGAGUCCAAAGA